rnacentral:tRNA from 1 species
GGCUCUGUGGCCUAGGGGUAAGGCGUUCGUCUCCUAAACGAAAGAUCGAGAGUUCGAACCUCUCCAGAGUCG